rnacentral:rRNA from 1 species
AGCAGCCGCGGUAAUUCCAGCUCCAAUAGCGUAUAUUAAAGUUGUUGCAGUUAAAAAGCUCGUAGUUGAAUUUUGGAUUCUGCCAGUUGGUCCAUCUUUUGAUGAGUACUGAUUGUGUGGGGUCUAUCCGCCUGGUGGUACGUAACGUACUUUAUUGUAUGUUGCGGGUAGUCAGGACCUUUACCUUGAAAAAUUAGAGUGUUUAAAGCAGGCUUAUGCCGGAAUACAUUAGCAUGGAAUAAUAGAAUAGGACGAUGUUGUUUUAUUUUGUUGGUUUCUAGGACAACCGUAAUGAUUAAUAGGGAUAGUUGGGGGCAUUAGUAUUCAAUUGUCAGAGGUGAAAUUCUUGGAUUUAUUGAAGACUAACUACUGCGAAAGCAUUUGCCAAGGAUGUUUUCAUUAAUCAAGAACGAAAGUUAGGGGAUCGAGGACGAUCAGAUACCGUCGUAGUCUUAACCAUAAACUAUGCCGACUAGGGAUCGGGCGAUGUUGUUUCCAUGACUCGCUCGGCACCUUAUG